ensembl:piRNA 21ur-4881 ncRNA
UGAUGGACUUCUACUUGGAAA